UCUCUCCCUUCCUUUCUUCCUCUCAAUGAACAUAGUAUUUUGAAUACUAUAGUAGACUAAAUAGUGCCCCCCCCACCAAAGGUCCAUGUUGUAAUACCUGGAACCUGUGAAUAUGUUACCUUACAUGGCAAAGGGCACUUACUUUGCAGAUAUGAUAAAGAGGGACUCAGAAGGUGUCAGAGUCAAGGAAGACAAUAUGACAACAAGCCAAGAGGGGUUUGAAGAUGCUACUUUGCUGGCUUUGAAAGGGGCCAGAGCCAGAGAAUCCAAGGAAUGCAGCUCUAGCAGCUGGAAAGGCCACAGUUCUCCCCUAGAGCCUCUGGAGGGAGCGCAGCCCUGCCAGCACCGUAGGUUCAGCCCGGAUGCACCAUUUCAGACUUCGGACCUCCAGAACUAUAAGAGAAUAUAUUGUGCUAUUUUAAACCUUAAAGUUUGUGGUCAUUUGUUCCAGCAGCAACAGGAAACUAAUUUGAGCACCAAGCACUGUAUCUGAUAUAACCAAAGCUUCAAAGGAGGGUGCAGGCCCAGGAGUCGUGUGGCCACUGCCAGGAGAGCUAAAGCCAUAAGACUCUUGGCCACCUCGCUUCCUGCCUCUCUCAGUUGAUUCCCUGUGACUCUAUCCCUGCAUGGAGGAGAGACAAGUGAAAAUGAAAGACAGAUGAAUGUGUCAAGUUGAGAGCUCUUUACAUGAUGAAGGUGUUUCUGCUUCAUUGCAUGAAACAGAACAUAGAGCGGUGAUAAAACCCAGCCAGAUCCUUUGGGUUGACUUCCAACCGCAGGUGGUGGUUACUCAUUAGGAAAGAGCGAACACUGUAAUGACUUCAAAACUAAGGAGUGCAAAGCCAAAUAUUCACUAAUAAUCACUCAUCAAGGAGAACAGAUGGCACACGUUGAACACUCCUGAAAAUGAAAGCCCUUGGCUGCAGGGGUGAAUGUCCAGGACCCACAGAAAAUAUCAAGUCAGAUACCUCUUGAAGCACUGAUGGGAAGGUGCAGCUGGACUCCCUGGAACUCUGAAGCUGAGAGACAGAGCACUACGGAAGGGAGCCCCAUUCCCAAGCAUGGUGUCCAAUACACUGAAAGAAUAACUGGGCUCAGUAAUGCACCUAGAGACUCAGAUUCCAGACCUGCCCACUUGCUUUACUAUCCAAAACAACCAUGACACAUGACUUCUCUGGCGGGGUGUUGGCCAAGACAAACUGAACUAUAGAAGAUCCUUGACUUGCCAACGUUCAAAUGAUGAACUUUCAAAAAUAGCGAAACUGGCUGCAGAGCAAAAGCUUUUCAGCUCUGCACAACACCAACAGAUGGCGCUAAGUGUCACCCUUGUGGAGAGCAGAGGGACCUCGGAAGGGCCUUUGGAAAUCUAAUCUGGUUUUGAGUUCUUGGUGGGAAAAUGCACCUUUAAGUUGGGGGAGUUUGAAGACGUUGCCAAGACACGUGCUGCAGCAUUUGAUCUUUUCUGCCGCACUGGCUUCUGCAAUUAACAUGCUUUCACCAGUGAAACUCAGGUUGCGGGGAGAGCAUUCUUCCAGGUUCAUGCCUGUUGUCAUGGAGUAAUUAUAAUUCAUGUCUCCGUUCACAGUGUCCUGGUUUGUAGAAUAAAAUAUCUGGUCCACCCA
rnacentral:lncRNA from 1 species